GAAAAACUAGUUAAACUAAAUAUAACAUGGGAUUGUCAGCCCCAAAUUACUUAACCUACAGAGUGUUUUUCU
rnacentral:tRNA from 1 species